GAGAUAUUAGUAAAAAUUACACGACUUUGUCAAAGUCGAGUUACA
rnacentral:tRNA from 1 species